rnacentral:rRNA from 1 species
UACAGAGGCCUCGAGCGUUAGGCGGAAUCACUGGGCUUAAAGCGUGUGUAGGCGGACUUCUAAGUACCUUGUGAAAUCCCACGGCUUACCCGUGGAACGGCUGGGUAUACUGGUUGCCUUGAGCCACUUAGGGGCUACCGGAACAAAUGGUGGAGCGGUGAAAUGCGUAGAUAUCAUUUGGAACGCCAAUGGUGAAAACAGGUAGCUGGGAGUGUGCUGACGCUGAGACACGAAAGCCAGGGGAGCGAACGGG